GGGCUGGGACUCAGCGCUCUAUUUUAAGUUUGUCCUGACCUCAGAACCUAGUUUGAAAGCACUGUGCAAAAUAACAUCAGACCAAAGUCUUACAGUGCUAACACGUUUGAUUUCUGUCAAAAUACCUGAAUCUGAAAAUCUGAAACUGCCCUCACUUUGCUUCACUUUCUCUUUCAGAAUUGAACAAACUGAUCACUUCCUCCUACUCAUUUUUCACAGUCUUCUUGUUAAGGGUGUGUCAGAAACAAAGAGGUCAGUAGGGUCACUGAGAGUUGUCAGGGCGUUUUGAUCAAGCCAAACUGACGGAAAACAUGGACACAAAAAAGUCUGCUCAUCAAUGAUAUGUUUACUUCUAUAGUUAAUCGUUAUUUUUUUAAUUAAAUAUAAUGUGAAUACAACUGGAUAAAUUAUCAAAGAAUGUUAAGCAUUUGGAUUUCUCGUUUGUGCACGUAUUCCCAACCGUCAUUUAUCCAGCACUUUUCUCCACUGAGCUUUUGUCUAACUGUCCUGUUUAGAGGUGAGUGCAGAGAAAAUGCUUCAUUCAUUUCUCCUGGAGCCUUUGAACGCUCCCACAAGAGCACUAAAUAUUUACUUGAGGUGCCUCUGUUUGUUUAAAGUUGGGAGACACACCAGAGAAGCUGAAGGGGCCAUAUGGGGUGAACUUGGGACAAAACACCUCUUUGCUUAUGAUGACUGCCAGACCACCAGGAUGGUCUCGCCUGUCUUCCUUGGAGCACCAUCGCCUCUUUGCCUCCUUUUGAGGGCAUGGGGGAGUGUAGAUUACAGGCCUGCACUAACACAUCUCUCUCUUUUCAAGAGCCAGAUUUCCUAAACAAGGAAAAUUACCAUAAGAGCGCAAUUCUUUAAGAACAUCAAUGGGAGUGGAAGGUUCUGCGGGUAAUCUACUGACAAUGCGCAAGUUGUAAGUAGAAGAACACAAACGCAGCCAGCUCAUUUCCAUAACAACCAACACAAUCUACCAAAAGCAGCACAAAUUGGCAAAAUGGGUUAAGACAUGCUUUUUUAAUGCGUUAUAUUAUGGCACAAAUACUAUUAAAUUGACUGCCACAAACCAUUGUAAAUCAUGUUGCAUCAUUUAUUCAAAUGUUCCCUCCCAUUAAUUU
ensembl:lncRNA